rnacentral:rRNA from 1 species
AACGAACGCUGGCGGCAGGCUUAACACAUGCAAGUCGAGCGCCCCGCAAGGGGAGCGGCAGACGGGUGAGUAACGCGUGGGAAUCUACCCAUCUCUACGGAAUAACGCAUGGAAACGUGUGCUAAUACCGUAUACGUCCUUCGGGGGAAAGAUUUAUCGGAGAUGGAUGAACCCGCGUUGGAUUAGCUAGUUGGUGGGGUAAAGGCCUACCAAGGCGACGAUCCAUAGCUGGUCUGAGAGGAUGAUCAGCCACACUGGGACUGAGACACGGCCCAGACUCCUACGGGAGGCAGCAGUGGGGAAUAUUGGACAAUGGGCGCAAGCCUGAUCCAGCCAUGCCGCGUGAGUGAUGAAGGCCCUAGGGUUGUAAAGCUCUUUCACCGGUGAAGAUAAUGACGGUAACCGGAGAAGAAGCCCCGGCUAACUUCGUGCCAGCAGCCGCAGUAAGAC